GAUGAACGCUGGCGGCGUGCCUAAUACAUGCAAGUCGAGCGAACGGACGAGGAGCUUGCUUCUCUGAUGUUAGCGGCGGACGGGUGAGUAACACGUGGAUAACCUACCUAUAAGACUGGGAUAACUUCGGGAAACCGGAGCUAAUACCGGAUGAUAUUUUGAACCGCAUGGUUCAAAAGUGAAAGACGGUCUUGCUGUCACUUAUAGAUGGAUCCGCGCUGCAUUAGCUAGUUGGUAAGGUAACGGCUUACCAAGGCAACGAUGCAUAGCCGACCUGAGAGGGUGAUCGGCCACACUGGAACUGAGGCACGGUCCAGACUCCUACGGGAGGCAGCAGUAGGGAAUCUUCCGCAAUGGGCGAAAGCCUGACGGAGCAACGCCGCGUGAGUGAUGAAGGUCUUCGGAUCGUAAAACUCUGUUAUUAGGGAAGAACAUAUGUGUAAGUAACUGUGCACAUCUUGACGGUACCUAAUCAGAAAGCCACGGCUAACUACGUG
rnacentral:rRNA from 1 species